AGCAGUCCUACGGGAGGCACCAGUGGGGAAUAUUGGACAAUGGGCGCAAGCCUGAUCCAGCCAUGCCGCGUGAGUGAUGAAGGCCCUAGGGUUGUAAAGCUCUUUUGUGCGGGAAGAUAAUGACGGUACCGCAAGAAUAAGCCCCGGCUAACUUCGUGCCAGCAGCCGCGGUAAUA
rnacentral:rRNA from 1 species